UAAUAUCAAGCAAUAAUCAGUGGUUCAAAAAUUGUGAUAUACAUGGGUUUCAAAGCUAAAGUGCAGAAGUUCAAGUUCUGAGAAUUGAAGCUAAGUGUGAGAAUCAAAAGUGAAGUCUGAAUGGGUUUUGCUUCAGGUGGAGUCUUGUUACUACAUGGUUUGUAGUGCACACCAGCAGGUGUUUUUUUGGCUCCAGUGGGAGCUUGGUUUAUUCAGAAGGUCUCACAGGUUGCUUCAGUUGGAGAAUGGUUUUGAGGAUAUAGUAAUCAGUUUGCAAGAGUUAUGAAGAUUCUGGUUGAUUCAGUAUGGUAAGAUGUACAAAGAGUCAAGUGCAGACAGUUCUCAUCAUCAGAUUAAAAGUUCAACCGAGGGUAUAUGCAGAUGGGUUCAGUGGUUAUUGGAUAUUGUGGAGUGUGUAAUCAUUCAGUCCGUCAAUAUGUGUUCAUCAGAGGAAUGCUACAGAGUCGUCAGUCCAGAGACGUCAAGGCAGGUAGUGGUAAAUAAAUUCUGCAGUAGAACUAAAGUUUGUUUUGCAGGUUUUACAGAACAACAUGAUACUUAGUUCAAGGUGGAGCUGCUUCAGAAACUGAUCAAGUCGUAUAGACUAAAGCGGCUCAAGUAUAAGGGACCAAAGAAGUGGUCUGUACAAUUUUCUGAAGACAGAAACUGAAGGAGACAAAGAGCAAAGAAUUAUAAGGUUGUCUCAAGGGUAUUAUUUCAGUAAAAGUCAGAGAUUGUUUUGCUUGUAG
rnacentral:lncRNA from 1 species